rnacentral:tRNA from 1 species
GGGGAUUUGGCUCAGUGGUAGAGCAUUUGCCUGGCAAGCCCAAGGUCCUGGGUUCGGUCCCCAGCUCUG